rnacentral:rRNA from 1 species
UACGUAGGGUGCGAGCGUUGUCCGGAAUUAUUGGGCGUAAAGGGCUCGUAGGCGGUCUGUCACGUCGGGAGUGAAAACUCGGGGCUUAACCCCGAGCCUGCUUCCGAUACGGGCAGACUAGAGGUAUGCAGGGGAGAAUGGAAUUCCUGGUGUAGCGGUGAAAUGCGCAGAUAUCAGGAGGAACACCGGUGGCGAAGGCGGUUCUCUGGGCAUUACCUGACGCUGAGGAGCGAAAGUGUGGGGAGCAAACAGG